rnacentral:rRNA from 1 species
UACGGGGGGGGCAAGCGUUGUUCGGAAUUACUGGGCGUAAAGGGCGCGUAGGCGGGUGGACAAGUCUCUCGUGAAAGCCCACGGCUCAACCGUGGAAUUGCGGGAGAUACUGUCUGUCUUGAGUCCGGGAGAGGAGGGUGGAAUUCCCAGUGUACCGGUGAAAUGCGUAGAUAUUGGGAGGAACACCGGUGGCGAAGGCGGCUCUCUGGACCGGUACUGACGCGGAGGCGCGAAAGGUAGGGUAGCAAAUGGG